rnacentral:rRNA from 1 species
AUUGAACGCUGGCGGCAGGCCUAACACAUGCAAGUCGAGCGGAUGAAGGGAGCUUGCUCCUGGAUUCAGCGGCGGACGGGUGAGUAAUGCCUAGGAAUCUGCCUGGUAGUGGGGGAUAACGUCCGGAAACGGGCGCUAAUACCGCAUACGUCCUGAGGGAGAAAGUGGGGGAUCUUCGGACCUCACGCUAUCAGAUGAGCCUAGGUCGGAUUAGCUAGUUGGUGGGGUAAAGGCCUACCAAGGCGACGAUCCGUAACUGGUCUGAGAGGAUGAUCAGUCACACUGGAAAUGAGACACGGUCCAGAAUCCUCCGGGAGGCAGCAGUGGGGAAUAGUGGACAAUGGGCGAGAGUCUGAACCAGCCAUGCGGCGUGAGGGAAGAAGGUCUUCUGAUUGUAAAGCAUUUUAAGUUGAGAGGAAGGGCAGUAAGUUAAUACCUUGCUGUUUUGACGUUACCAACAGAAUAAGCACCGGCUAACUUCGUG